rnacentral:rRNA from 1 species
UACGGAGGGUGCAAGCGUUAAUCGGAAUUACUGGGCGUAAAGCGCGCGUAGGCGGCGACGUAAGUCGGGUGUGAAAGCCCCGGGCUCAACCUGGGAAUUGCAUUCGAGACUGUGUUGCUGGAGUACGGAAGAGGAGGGCGGAAUUCCCGGUGUAGCGGUGAAAUGCUUAGAUAUCCUGAGGAACACCAGUGGCGAAAGCGACUUUCUGGCACGAAACUGACGCUGAGGCUCGAAAGCAUGGGUAGCGAACGGGAUUAGAUACCCGUGUAGU